CAAUAGACUACCCGGGUAGUCCACGCCGUAAACGAUGGUGACUAGGUGUGGCUGGCUUAAGGGCUGGUCGUGCCGAAGCUAACGCGAUAAGUCACCCGCCUGGGGAGUACGGCCGCAAGGCUAAAACUCAAAGGAAUUGACGGGGGGCCCGCACAAGCAGCGGAGCGUGUGGUUUAAUUCGAUGCAACGCGAAGAACCUUACCUGGGAUUGACAUGACGGUGGUAGAAGGGUGAAAGCCCGACGACCCGCAAGGGAGCCGCCACAGGUGCUGCAUGGCUGUCGUCAGCUCGUGUCGUGAGAUGUUGGGUUAAGUCCUGCAACGAGCGCAACCCCUGUCGCCAGUUUCAGGUGUCUGGCGAGACUGCCCGUGCAAGCGGGAGGAAGGUGGGGAUGACGUCAAGUCAGCAUGGCCUUUAUAUCCAGGGGCGACACACACGCUACAAUGGCUGGGACAAUAGGACGCAAGACCGAGAGGUGGAGCCAAUCCGUAAACCCAGUCUCAGUUCGGAUUGGGGGCUGCACUCGCCCC
rnacentral:rRNA from 1 species